GAUAAAGGAGAACAACAGCCUGAUCAUUCAUCCCAACAGCAGUUAGACUCUAUAACUCCUCAAUCACAAUGUCAUAAGUCACUGGACACUGUGAACAUCCACGGUCACCACUUCAUGCAUAAUGGACCUUCCAUGUGUAUGGACAUGUGCAGAUUCAUUGAGAGUAACAAACUAGAGACUACAUCCAAAUAUGCCUUCAGAGGACUCAGGGACCUGACUCACUUGUCUUUGGCAAACAAUAACAUUAAAGCCUUG